rnacentral:rRNA from 1 species
UGCCUGGUGGGUAGUUUGACUGGGGCGGUCUCCUCCCAAAGAGUAACGGAGGAGCACGAAGGUGGGCUAAUCACGGUUGGACAUCGUGAGGUUAGUGCAAUGGCAUAAGCCCGCUUAACUGCGAGAAUGACGGUUCGAGCAGGUGCGAAAGCAGGUCAUAGUGAUCCGGUGGUUCUGUAUGGAAGGGCCAUCGCUCAACGGAUAAAAGGUACUCCGGGGAUAACAGGCUGAUACCGCCCAAGAGUUCAUAUCGACGGCGGUGUUUGGCACCUCGAUGUCGGCUCAUCACAUCCUGGGGCUGAAGUCGGUCCCAAGGGUAUGGCUGUUCGCCAUUUAAAGUGGUACGCGAGCUGGGUUUAGAACGUCGUGAGACAGUUCGGUCCCUAUCUGCCGUGGGCGUUGGAAGAUUGAAGGGGGCUGCUCCUAGUACGAGAGGACCGGAGUGGACGAACCUCUGGUGUUCGGGUUGUGUCGCCAGACGCAUUGCCCGGUAGCUAAGUUCGGAAUUGAUAAGCGCUGAAAGCAUCUAAGCGCGAAGCGAGCCCUGAGAUGAGUCUUCCCUGA